AACGAACGCUGGCGGCAUGCCUAACACAUGCAAGUCGAACGAAGGCUUCGGCCUUAGUGGCGCACGGGUGCGUAACGCGUGGGAAUCUGCCCUUGGGUUCGGAAUAACGUCGGGAAGCUGACGCUAAUACCGGAUGAUGACGUAAGUCCAAAGAUUUAUCGCCCAAGGAUGAGCCCGCGUCGGAUUAGCUAGUUGGUGAGGUAAAAGCUCACCAAGGCGACGAUCCGUAGCUGGUCUGAGAGGAUGAUCAGCCACACUGGGACUGAGACACGGCCCAGACUCCUACGGGAGGCAGCAGUGGGGAAUAUUGGACAAUGGGCGAAAGCCUGAUCCAGCAAUGCCGCGUGAGUGAUGAAGGCCUUAGGGUUGUAAAGCUCUUUUACCCGGGAUGAUAAUGACCGUACCGGGAGAAUAAGCUCCGGCUAACUCCGUG
rnacentral:rRNA from 1 species